AGAACGAUAGCUCGCUUUCGUUCCCUUCGGGCGGCCGAUGUUGCUCGCGCCAGCUCGCGCGCUCGCCCAGAGCCAUCGUAUUCAGGGAGGAGAGCCGCUGCCGACGGCUACGUAUAUGGGCUUUCAGAUCGGGCCAAGUAGGCGUGCGAGGAAUGGAUGCCGUGGCAACGGGCGAAUUAGAGGGACGACACUCUUUUUCCGUGUAUCGCGGGAAGAAGAGGAUGAUAGUUUCAAAGGGGUUCAGAGAAAGAGAAAGAGAGAGAGAAGGUCGUUGGCCUCCAAAUCGAAGACUCGCGAACGCGUUUUUAGCUUGUCACCGCAGGUCCACGACCGACCGUUAGGAUUUGAGCGAGAAACACCGUUUAGUGGACGCGUCGAGAGAUUACGCUUCUCUUUAAUUAGUAGCUGCUUCAGCGAACGAGUCACUCAGCUUGGAAUUUUGACAACUUCUUGGUGCUCGGCUCUUGAUUAACUGUGAAUUUAUGCGAGUGUGUCGCUGUUGAGGCAUUGAAAGAGCGAAUUCAGACAUUAUGGCUGUGUCUUGGAGGAUGAGGAUGAGAAUUUUCCGAGUAUCUUAUGGAUUUCGUGGUAUGUUGAAUCGUAGGAAAAGAUUUUUAAGAAGUUUCGCAAACGAUCGUUUGCGUUACGAGGAUCGAUGUUGGUUCGUGAGAAAGAUAUUAUAAAGGAUUGCAUAUCUACCCAAGCAAUUGGUAACGUGCUAAUUAUUUUAGCAAAUAGAACGUCUAUCACUAGCUAGCUAUUGACCCGAGAAAUGCAAGAUUUACGUUUCCCGCUCGAUAUACACCGCGAUAUCUUCGCAACGAGUCGACCUCGACCGCUCCAUAAAUUAUUGCUAAAUACGAAUAUGUACAUCUACGUUUUUACGAAUACCAAGCAACUUUCAAUAAAUCAGUGAUUAAAUUCUUAACCUCAA
rnacentral:lncRNA from 1 species